rnacentral:misc_RNA from 1 species
CCGUAGCAAUACGGCAGCGGCAGACGGGAGAGUAACACGUGGGAACGUGCCCUUCAGUUCGGAACAACCCAGGGAAACUUGGGCUAAUACCGGAUACGCCCUUACGGGGAAAGAUUUAUCGCUGAAGGAUCGGCCCGCGUCUGAUUAGCUAGUUGGUGGGGUAAAGGCCCACCAAGGGAAAAGAUCUGUAGCUGGUCUGAGAGGACGACCAGCCACACUGUUUCUCAGACACGGGAAAGACUCCUACNGGAGGUCGAAGAG